rnacentral:rRNA from 1 species
UAGGGAAUCUUCCGCAAUGGACGAAAGUCUGACGGAGCAACGCCGCGUGAGUGAAGAAGGAUUUCGGUUCGUAAAACUCUGUUGUUAGGGAAGAAAAAAUGUAUAGUAACUAUAUACAAAAGAGACGGUACCUAACCAGAAAGCCACGGCUAACUACGUGCCAGCAGCCGCGGUAAUACGUAGGUGGCAAGCGUUGUCCGGAAUUAUUGGGCGUAAAGCGCGCGCAGGUGGUUUAGAAAGUCUGAUGUGAAAGCCCACGGCUCAACCGUGGAGGGUCAUUGGAAACUAAUAAACUUGAGUGCAGGAGAGAAAAGGGGAAUUCCUAGUGUAGCGGUGAAAUGCGUAGAGAUUAGGAGGAACACCGGUGGCGAAAGCGGCUUUUUGGCCUGCAACUGACACUGAGGCGCGAAAGCGUGGGGAGCAAACAGG